rnacentral:tRNA from 2 species
GCGGGUAUAGUUCAAUGGUAGAACGGCAGCCUUCCAAGCUGCAUAUGUCGGUUCGAUCCCGUCUACCCGCUCCA